GACGAACGCUGGCGGCGUGCUUAACACAUGCAAGUCGAGCGAUGAAAUCCCUUCGGGGAUGGAUUAGCGGCGGACGGGUGAGUAACACGUGGGUAACCUGCCUCAAAGAGGGGGAUAGCCUCCCGAAAGGGAGAUUAAUACCGCAUAACAUUAGUUUUUCGCAUGGAGAACUAAUUAAAGGAGUAAUCCGAUUUGAGAUGGACCCGCGGCGCAUUAGCUAGUUGGUGAGGUAACGGCUCACCAAGGCGACGAUGCGUAGCCGACCUGAGAGGGUGAUCGGCCACAUUGGAACUGAGACACGGUCCAGACUCCUACGGGAGGCAGCAGUGGGGAAUAUUGCACAAUGGGCGAAAGCCUGAUGCAGCAACGCCGCGUGAGUGAUGAAGGCCUUCGGGUUGUAAAACUCUGUCGUUUGGGACGAUAAUGACGGUACCAAAGGAGGAAGCCACGGCUAACUACGUACCAGCAGCCGCGGUAA
rnacentral:rRNA from 1 species